GGAAUUGUUCGCAAUGGGCGCAAGCCUGACGGAGUGACGCCGCGUGUGGGACGAAGGCCUUCGGGUCGUAAACCACUGUCAGUGGGAAAGAUGGGUGUCGGCGCGAUAACCGCCGGCAUCGGACGGUACCUGCAGAGGAAACCCCGGCUAACCCUGUGCCAGCAGCCGCGGUAAGACAGAGGGGGCAAGCGUUGCUCGGAAUUACUGGGCGUAAAGGGCGCGUAGGCGGGAUGGCAAGUCGGUCGUGAAAUCCCUCGGCCCAACUGAGGAACGUCGAUCGAUACUGCCGUUCUUGAGGGUUGCAGAGGAGACUGGAAUUCCCGGUGUAGCGGUGAAAUGUGUAGAGAUCGGGAGGAACACCGGUGGCGAAGGCGGGUCUCUGGGCAAUUCCUGACGCUGAGGCGCGAAAGCGUGGGGAGC
rnacentral:rRNA from 1 species